rnacentral:tRNA from 1 species
GCUUUAGAAUAUUUAAGGGCUGAUUUCUCUCAAGAGCGUCUAACGCCUAAAGUA